GACGAACGCUGGCGGCGUGCCUAAUACAUGCAAGUAGAACGCUGAAGAGAGGAGCUUGCUCUUCUUGGAUGAGUUGCGAACGGGUGAGUAACGCGUAGGUAACCUGCCUUGUAGCGGGGGAUAACUAUUGGAAACGAUAGCUAAUACCGCAUAACAAUAGGUGACACAUGUCAUUUAUUUGAAAGGGGCAAUUGCUCCACUACAAGAUGGACCUGCGUUGUAUUAGCUAGUAGGUGAGGUAACGGCUCACCUAGGCGACGAUACAUAGCCGACCUGAGAGGGUGAUCGGCCACACUGGGACUGAGACACGGCCCAGACUCCUACGGGAGGCAGCAGUAGGGAAUCUUCGGCAAUGGGGGCAACCCUGACCGAGCAACGCCGCGUGAGUGAAGAAGGUUUUCGGAUCGUAAAGCUCUGUUGUAAGUCAAGAACGAGUGUGAGAGUGGAAAGUUCACACUGUGACGGUAGCUUACCAGAAAAGGACGGCUAACUACGU
rnacentral:rRNA from 1 species